rnacentral:rRNA from 1 species
UGAUACGUAGGGUGCGAGCGUUGUCCGGAUUUAUUGGGCGUAAAGAGCUUGUAGGCGGUUAGUCGCGUCGUAAGUGCAAACUCAGGGCUUAACCCUGAGCCUGCUUUCGAUACGGGCUGACUAGAGGAAGGUAGGGGAGAAUGGAAUUCCCGGUGGAGCGGUGGAAUGCGCAGAUAUCGGGAGGAACACCAGUGGCGAAGGCGGUUCUCUGGACCUUUCCUGACGCUGAGAAGCGAAAGCGUGGGGAGCAAACAGGCUUAGAUACCCUGGUAGUCCACGCCGUAAACGGUGGGUACUAGGUGUGGGGGACAUUCCACGUUCUCUGUGCCGUAGCUAACGCAUUAAGUACCCCGCCUGGGGAGUACGGCCGCAAGGCUAAAACUCAAAGGAAUUGACGG